GCCAAGGUGGCGUAGUGGUUAGCGCACGUGCCUACUGAACACGAGGCCCGGGUUCGGUUCCCGGCCGUGGUA